AUGGAGAAUAGUGAAAGCUGUGUGUCACGCGAUCCUGUGUCUCCAGAGGUCCGUCUGCUCCAUUCCUCCUGCAACCCCAGAUCCAGCGAUGCAACCAUUGAGCUGCUCUGCAUUAUCUCAGGUUUCUACCCAAGCGAAGUGACAGUGGAAUGGUUGGUAGGUGGGAAAUCUGGGUUGCUCUCCUCACACACUGAACCUCCCAGGGAAGAUACCACUGGGCACACCUUCAGUACCACCAGCACUGUCAAUAUUAGCCAGGCAGACUGGCUGGAAGGGAAUGCCUAUUCCUGCCAAGUGACCCAUGCCGCCAGCCAAACUACUGUGAAAAGCCGAGCCAAGAGAUGUGAAGGUGAGAGUCCCUGCCAGUCCAUUGGCAUUAACGUAUAUCUCCGACCCCCAACACCAAAUGAUCUGUACAUAAACAGAGAUGCCAAAGUUUCUUGUGUGGUGGGUAAUCUGGAAAGUUCAGAGAGUCUGAAGUUGAGAUGGUCACGAGAAAAGGCAGCAUCUCUGAACCCUGAACCUUCAGAUGUGUCAGAAGAACUUAAUGGCACCUACACCGUUGUAAGUGAUCUGCCCAUCUCUGGCAGAGAUUGGGCAUCAGGAGAGACCUUUACCUGUACAGUGGAAUAUCCAGGAUUGGCCGCUCCCAUCGUUAAGAAAAUUUCCAAGAUUGAAGGCAAGACCACUGCACCCAGUGUGUAUCUCUUCCGCCCUCACCAUGAGGAGGUGACCCUUCGCUCACAAGAACACCUGACCAUCACUUGCCUAGUCAAAAAUUUCAAGCCAGCGGAUAUUUCUGUGCAAUGGCUGAAGAACCACAAUGCUCUGACUGAAGACAACCACAUCAAUACCCCGGUCUUGAAGGAUAGCACCGAGGAUGGUUAUUUUUUCUACAGCAUGCUGACAAUUCCCAGAGCUGACUGGAACAUGGGCAGUACCUACACCUGCAUGGUUAUCCAUGAAGGCUUGAGCAUGAAGUUCACCCAGAGGAGCGUCGAGAAAUCCCAGGGUAAAAAGUGA